rnacentral:lncRNA from 1 species
CCCUCCUCUGUUUCUCUCCACUGCGUUGAAUCUGAAUGAGUUAACUGCAUUGAUUGGUUUGUUUGUACUUACCAGCUGCUGAUAUGGUGUGCUCAUGGAUAGGAAUGGGAAGUUGCUGCAAUGAUUCAGAUAAGUGACAAGACAACUUAGUGUUUUCUAUUUUUUUUUAUGAACAACUUGUUGUCUAUUGACUUGUUAGUACUUACCAGCUGUCAAAAUGUGUUGUAGGAGCUAGGAACAUGGAAGAAAUAGCCACCAAGGAAUCAGGUAUGUCUACUAGACCUCUUUUUAUAUUUACAGUAACCUAUAUAUUCAGAAUUAUUGCUAU